rnacentral:rRNA from 1 species
UGCCAGCCGCCGCGGUAAUACGGAGGGUGCAAGCGUUAUCCGGAUUUAUUGGGUUUAAAGGGUGCGCAGGCGGGGCGAUCAGUCAGUGGUGAAAGCCCACAGCUUAACUGUGGAAUUGCCAUUGAUACUGUCGCUCUUGAAUAUAGUUGAAGUGAACGGAAUGUAACAUGUAGCGGUGAAAUGCAUAGAUAUGUUACAGAACACCGAUUGCGAAGGCAGUUCACUAAGCUAUUAUUGACGCUCAGGCACGAAAGCGUGGGGAUCAAACAGGAUUAGAUA